rnacentral:snoRNA from 1 species
CACAGUUGUAGGCAACUGCCUAGGUUGCCUUUUACCUAGGUAAUAGUUACACUACUGGGAGAAAAGUAGCCAGUAGCUGGUGGACAUU